UACGUAGGUGGCAAGCGUUGUCCGGAAUUACUGGGCGUAAAGAGCUCGUAGGUGGUUUGUCGCGUUGUUCGUGAAAACUCACAGCUUAACUGUGGGCGUGCGGGCGAUACGGGCAGACUGGAGUACUGCAGGGGAGACUGGAAUUCCUGGUGUAGCGGUGGAAUGCGCAGAUAUCAGGAGGAACACCGGUGACGAAGGCGGGUCUCUGGGCAGUAACUGACGCUGGAGGAGCGAAAGCGUGGGGAGCGAACAGG
rnacentral:rRNA from 1 species